UACAUGGGGUGCAAACGUUGCUCGGAAUUAUUGGGCGUAAAGCGCGCGUAGGCGGUUACUCAAGUCGGAUGUGAAAGCCCUCGGCUUAACUGAGGAAGUGCACCCGAAACUGAGUAGCUAGAGUACUAAAGAGGGUCGCGGAAUUCCCGGUGUAGAGGUGAAAUUCGUAGAUAUCGGGAGGAACACCGGUGGCGAAGGCGGCGACCUGGGUAGAUACUGACGCUGAGGCGGCGAAAAGCGUGGGGAGCAAACAGG
rnacentral:rRNA from 1 species